AUGCAAGCCUCGAAGCUUCAAAAACUGCUAAUUUCUCGAUUUCAAGAACAGUUUUAUCCCCAAUAUCAGGAUGAAAUAUUAUAUGGAUUGCAGGAAGAAAUAUUUUGGCUACUAGGAUGAAAUAAACAAUCUUGGAAACUUCUAGAUCCUAAUCUUGUUAAGUUUAUAGGUUUAUUCAUAAGUGUUGUGCAGACUGUGGAGAGUUGACUAUUCAAGACUAAGUUUAAAUGCUUUUGAGUUAUUAAAAAGAUAUUGCAGAAUCUAUUAAAUAUGUAAUUAAGAAGUUUAUUUCAAUAUGAAUUAGUUAUAUUUAAAUCAUUGCAAUCAUUGACAAUUCCUC
rnacentral:lncRNA from 1 species